UACGGAGGGGGCCAGCGUUGCUCGGAAUUAUUGGGCGUAAAGGGCGCGUAGGCGGCUUGGUAAGUUUGAUGUGAAAUCCCAUGGCUCAACCAUGGAACUGCAUCUCAUACUGCCGAGCUAGAGUCUGGGAGAGGGAAGCGGAAUUCGCGGUGUAGCGGUGAAAUGCGUAGAUAUCGGGAGGAACACCAGUGGCGAAGGCGGCUUCCUGGACCAGCACUGACGCUGAGGAGCGAAAGCGUGGGUAGCGAACAGG
rnacentral:rRNA from 1 species